UGCCAGCAUCCGCGGUACCACGUAAGGUGCGAGCGUUGUUCGGAAUUAUUGGGCGUAAAGGGCUCGUAGGCGGCCUGCCAAGUCCCACGUGAAAGACCAGGGCUCAACCCUGGGAACGCGAGGGAAACUGGUAAGCUGGAAUCUUGGAGGGGGUACUGGAAUUCCUGGUGUAGGGGUGAAAUCUGUUGAUAUCAGGAAGAACACCGGAGGCGAAGGCGAGUACCUGGCCAAAGAUUGACGCUGAUGAGCGAAAGCGUAGGGAGCGAACAGGAUUAGAUA
rnacentral:rRNA from 1 species